rnacentral:rRNA from 1 species
AUUGAACGCUGGCGGCAGGCCUAACACAUGCAAGUCGAGCGGUAGCACAGAGAGCUUGCUCUCGGGUGACGAGCGGCGGACGGGUGAGUAAUGUCUGGGAAACUGCCUGAUGGAGGGGGAUAACUACUGGAAACGGUAGCUAAUACCGCAUAACGUCGCAAGACCAAAGUGGGGGACCUUCGGGCCUCAUGCCAUCAGAUGUGCCCAGAUGGGAUUAGCUAGUAGGUGGGGUAAUGGCUCACCUAGGCGACGAUCCCUAGCUGGUCUGAGAGGAUGACCAGCCACACUGGAACGGAGACACGGUCCAGACUCCUACGGGAGGCAGCAGUGGGGAAUAUUGCACAAUGGGCGCAAGCCUGAUGCAGCCAUGCCGCGUGUGUGAAGAAGGCCUUCGGGUUGUAAAGCACUUUCAGCGGGGAGGAAGGCGAUAAGGUUAAUAACCUUGUCGAUUGACGUUACCCGCAGAAGAAGCACCGGCUAACUCCGUGCCAGCAGCCGCAGUAAAAC